rnacentral:rRNA from 1 species
AGAAUCAACGCUGGCGGCGUGCCUAACACAUGCAAGUCGAACGAGAAAGUCCGCAAGGAUGAGUAAAGUGGCGACCGGGUGAGUAACACGUGACUAACCUACCUUUUAGUGGGGGAUAACUCCGGGAAACCGGGGCUAAUACCGCAUAACAUCGCAAGAUCAAAGCAGCAAUGCGCUGGAAGAGGGGGUCGCGGCUGAUUAGCUAGUUGGCGGGGUAAUGGCCCACCAAGGCGAAGAUCGGUAUCCGGCCUGAGAGGGCGCACGGACACACUGGAACUGAAACACGGUCCAGACUCCUACGGGAGGCAGCAGUGGGGAAUUUUGCGCAAUGGGGGAAACCCUGACGCAGCAACGCCGCGUGGAGGAUGAAGUCCCUUGGGACGUAAACUCCUUUCGACCAAGACGAUAAUGACGGUACUGGUGGAAGAAGCACCGGCUAACUCUGUGCCAGCAGCCGC